CCGGCCACUGGAUAAUUUUUCACUGUGGUGGCUGCUGGUAGUCUAUUGCCUGCAGUAGCCAACCUAGGCUUUCUGUCUCCAGGAGGGUACAGGGGCUUUUUGAAUCGAAAAGAAAAAAAUUAUUUUUGCAGUACUGGGGACUGAUCCUAGGGCUUUCACACUGAGCUACAUCAUCCCCGGUCAUUUUAAAUUUUGAGACCGAUUUUUUUUUUUUUUUUUUUUUUUUUUUUUGGUAUUGGGGAUUGAACUCGGGACCUUGUGCCUGUGAGGCACACGGCAGAACCACUGAGCUAAAUCCCCGGCCCUUGAGAUCAAUUCUUGCGAAGCGGCUAAUUUGCCCAGGCUGGGCUCCGACUUGCGAUCCUCCAGCCUCUUUACUGGGAUCACGGUUGUGCGCCACCAUACCCUGCCUAUUUUGCAUUUUUAAACCCAGCUAUUGCCCUCCCUGCAGUUUGCCCAGCCUAGAAGUUGGUCUCCCGUGAAUUGAGGUCUUUCUCCUGGUGGCAUGAGUUAGUUUUAUUAGGGCAGGUGACCACCUCCUUCCUGUAGCAUGGUGGCAGUCCCAGAAAAUGUGGGGAGUCACGGUGCCUGUCAGAGGGGGCUACUCAGUGAGGUUUCCCGCCCUGGCUCUGCCUGCUGUUUGAUCCUUUCACGUUGUGCACUUUUGUAUUUAUACUCACGACUUGGGCGGUCUUUGUUUUCCUGCCUUCAUUCCUUGCUUCCUUCCCUCCUCCCUCCCUCCUUCCUUCGCUGCCUUCUUUCCUUCCUUUCAUCUUCUUCUUUUGUAUCAGGGCAAUAACUUGCCUCAUAAAAUGAAUAUGAAAGUGUACCCUUCUUUUCAAAUUUGUGGAAGAGACAACAUCGAAAUCUUGUUCUUUCUUCCAUAGAUAUUUGGUAGGACUUGCCAGCGAAACCAUCUUGGCCUGUUUUUUGCUUUGGCAGAGCAUUUGGAACUACAGAUUCCGUUUCUUUCAUAUGACCAGGUUACCCUUGGUUUUCUUGGGCGGGUUCUGGAAGAUCGUCCUAUUCAGGGAACAGUCAUUUCGUCUCUGCCGCUGACUCUUGUUUGUGUAGGAUCGUGUGUUUAUUCCUUACCGGCCAUGUUGUUGGCAGUGAGAUCUGUAGUAAUAUCUUCUCUUUCAUUUCUGACGUUAGUAACUUGUAUCUUUUACUUUCUUUAUUUUAAUAAUAGUUCCUUUAGUUUUUUGUUAGCCUGACUACUAAUAGUACGUCAAGUGUAUCCGUCUUCUCAAAAAACAGCUGCUGAUUUCAUUAAUUUUUCUCCUUAAUUUUCUGUUUCCAGUUUAAUUGGUUUCUGCUGUUGUAUUUAUUACUUCCUUCCUGUUGUUCGCUUUGGCUUUAUUUUUGCGCUUUCUGAUGGAGCCCGCCGUCACUUGUCGAACAGUACCUGAAUGGGGGAGUGAGGAUGGAGAAAAAGAAAGACAAAGAGAUAGAGUCGGGAGGGCUCCCAGAGACCGAGCGCCCAAGUUUAUUUUUCUCCUCUCUUUUAUACAACAGGGAUUGAACUCUGGACCUUGUGGUGGUGAGGCAGGCGGCGGAACCACUGAGGUAAACCCCCGGC
ensembl:lncRNA